UUGUUAUAAUACCAAACUUAUCAUCUGUUGCAAUGUAUUAUUAAGACAAAUCCAACAAGAUAAAAGCUUACUAGACUAGUAGAUGAAAAGUUAUCACUAUGGACUGAGAAGAUAACUAGAAAUAUCCUUCGACAGAAUAUAAGAUAAACUCUGCACAGGAAGAGGGUAUCACACAGAUUUCAUUGUCUGCAGAGACAACUCAAAUUGGAGCU
rnacentral:lncRNA from 1 species